GUUGACCUCGGAUCAGGUAGGGAUACCCGCUGAACUUAAGCAUAUCAAUAAGCGAGGGAAAAGCUU
rnacentral:rRNA from 1 species